rnacentral:rRNA from 1 species
UGGGGAAUAUUGCACAAUGGGCGCAAGCCUGAUGCAGCCAUGCCGCGUGUGUGAAGAAGGCCUUCGGGUUGUAAAGCACUUUCAGCGGGGAGGAAGGCGAUAAGGUUAAUAACCUCAUCGAUUGACGUUACCCGCAGAAGAAGCACCGGCUAACUCCGUGCCAGCAGCCGCGGUAAUACGGAGGGUGCAAGCGUUAAUCGGAAUUACUGGGCGUAAAGCGCACGCAGGCGGUCUGUCAAGUCGGAUGUGAAAUCCCCGGGCUCAACCUGGGAACUGCAUUGGAAACUGGCAGGCUAGAGUCUUGUAGAGGGGGGUAGAAUUCCAGGUGUAGCGGUGAAAUGCGUAGAGAUCUGGAGGAAUACCGGUGGCGAAGGCGGCCCCCUGGACAAAGACUGACGCUCAGGUGCGAAAGCGUGGGGAGCAAACAGG